UACGUAUGGUGCAAGCGUUAUCCGGAUUUACUGGGUGUAAAGGGAGCGCAGGCGGCACGCUAAGCCUGAUGUGAAAACCCGCGGCCCAACCGCGGGAGUGCAUUGGGAACUGGCGGGCUGGAGUACCGGAGGGGCAGGCGGAAUUCCUAGUGUAGCGGUGAAAUGCGUAGAUAUUAGGAGGAACACCAGUGGCGAAGGCGGCCUGCUGGACGGAGACUGACGCUGAGGCUCGAAAGCGUGGGGAGCAAACA
rnacentral:rRNA from 1 species